rnacentral:rRNA from 1 species
UACGAAGGGGGCUAGCGUUGCUCGGAAUCACUGGGCGUAAAGCGCACGUAGGCGGACUCUUAAGUCAGAGGUGAAAUCCUGGAGCUCAACUCCAGAACUGCCUUUGAUACUGGGAGUCUCGAGUUCGGGAGAGGUGAGUGGAACUGCGAGUGUAGAGGUGAAAUUCGUAGAUAUUCGCAAGAACACCAGUGGCGAAGGUGGCUCACUGGCCCGAUACUGACGCUGAGGUGCGAAAGCGUGGGGAGCAAACAGG